ACACGUCAGUAAAAGAGAUUGAAGUGAAAAUGGUUGCUGGGAGGGUAACAGUGUUUUGGACAAGGAACGCUCGAAGAAAAAUGUCAAUGACAAGAAGGGUGGUCAUGGAAAGCUUAAAGAUGGUGACGACUAUAACAAUGACGAUGACGAUAAUGGUGAUGAUCAAGAUGACGAUGUUGAUGACGAAGACAAUGCUGGUGACGAUAACGAUGACGACUUUAACGAUGACGGUGCUGGUGACAAUGGUGUUUACUUAGCAAGAAUACAAACUUUGAACUUCGUAAGAAACCCUUGCUAUGAUACCAAAUGUCCUGGAAUCCUUAAAGCAAAGAAAAUGAGAAAUGGAAAAUGUCGGUGUCUACCUGACUUCCGAAGAAAUGUUAGGACAUUUAAUCAACAAAAUCUGUAGUCCUAACAUUGAUAUUGUUAUUCUAGGUCCCUGUGUUUUACUUACAUGUAUACUUUAUCACUAUGUAGUGCAAGGGACAGAUGAUCCAAACACUGGAUUUAUGGUAGUUUGUAUAAGUAGACAAGAGUUAGCGUUCUUUUGUGUGU